rnacentral:rRNA from 1 species
GAAGCCUACGGGAGGCAGCAGUGGGGAAUAUUGCACAAUGGGGGGAACCCUGAUGCAGCGACGCCGCGUGGGUGAGGAAGUACUUCGGUAUGUAAAGCCCUAUCAGCAGGGAAGAAAAUGACGGUACCUGACUAAGAAGCCCCGGCUAACUACGUGCCAGCAGCCGCGGUAAUACGUAGGGGGCAAGCGUUAUCCGGAUUUACUGGGUGUAAAGGGUGCGUAGGUGGCAGGGCAAGUCAGAUGUGAAAGCCCGGGGCUCAACCCCGGUACUGCAUUUGAAACCGUCCAGCUGGAGUGCAGGAGAG